rnacentral:rRNA from 1 species
UAUUGGUCAAUGGCCGAGAGGCUGAACCAGCCAAGUCGCGUGAGGGAUGAAGGUUCUAUGGAUCGUAAACCUCUUUUAUAAGGGAAUAAAGUGCGGGACGUGUCCCGUUUUGUAUGUACCUUAUGAAUAAGGAUCGGCUAACUCCGUGCCAGCAGCCGCGGUAAUACGGAGGAUCCGAGCGUUAUCCGGAUUUAUUGGGUUUAAAGGGUGCGUAGGCGGCCUUUUAAGUCAGCGGUGAAAGUCUGUGGCUCAACCAUAGAAUUGCCGUUGAAACUGGGGGGCUUGAGUAUGUUUGAGGCAGGCGGAAUGCGUGGUGUAGCGGUGAAAUGCAUAGAUAUCACGCAGAACUCCGAUUGCGAAGGCAGCUUACUAAACCAUAACUGACACUGAAGCACGAAAGCGUGGGGAUCAAACAGGAUUAGAUACCCUGGUAGUCCACGCAGUAAACGAUGAUCACUAGCUGUUUGCGAUACACUGUAAGCGGCACAGCGAAAGCGUUAAGUGAUCCACCUGGGGAGUACGCCGGCAACGGUGAAACUCAAAGGAAUUGACGGGGGCCCGCACAAGCGGAGGAACAUGUGGUUUAAUUCGAUGAUACGCGAGGAACCUUACCCGGGUUUGAACGCAUUCGGACCGAGGUGGAAACACCUUUUCUAGCAAUAGCCGUUUGCGAGGUGCUGCAUGGUUGUCGUCAGCUCGUGCCGUGAGGUGUCGGCUUAAGUGCCAUAACGAGCGCAACCCUUGCCACUAGUUACUAACAGGUAAAGCUGAGGACUCUGGUGGGACUGCCAGCGUAAGCUGCGAGGAAGGCGGGGAUGACGUCAAAUCAGCACGGCCCUUACAUCCGGGGCGACACACGUGUUACAAUGGCGUGGACAAAGGGAAGCCACCUGGCGACAGGGAGCGAAUCCCCAAACCACGUCUCAGUUCGGAUCGGAGUCUGCAACCCGACUCCGUGAAGCUGGAUUCGCUAGUAAUCGCGCAUCAGCCA